GUGGCAAAUUGAAGGAUGGAAUAAUAAAUAAAAAAAUCAGUAACAUACAAUAUGACUCUUUAAUAUGAUACUUUAAUUUUAAGGGGUGUGUGUGGCCCCAUUUACACAACUAAAAUGUAAUUUAGAACAAGAACAAUGUUUCCUUUGUAGACUGACUGGUAUCUAAACACAUUGAUUGUAGUUUAAAGUCACAUUACUGUAAGUAUUAUUGCUUUGGAGCUCUA